UGCAGUCGAGCGAACAGAUGAGAAGCUUGCUUCUCUGAUGUUAGCGGCGGACGGGUGAGUAACACGUGGGUAACCUACCUAUAAGACUGGGAUAACUCCGGGAAACCGGGGCUAAUACCGGAUAAUAUUUUGAACCGCAUGGUUCUAUAGUGAAAGACGGUUUCGGCUGUCACUUAUAGAUGGACCCGCGCCGUAUUAGCUAGUUGGUAAGGUAACGGCUUACCAAGGCGACGAUACGUAACCGACCUGAGAGGGUGAUCGGCCACACUGGAACUGAGACACGGUCCAGACUCCUACGGGAGGCAGCAGUAGGGAAUCUUCCGCAAUGGGCGAAAGCCUGACGGAGCAACGCCGCGUGAGUGAUGAAGGUCUUCGGAUCGUAAAACUCUGUUGUUAGGGAAGAACAAAUUUGUUAGUAACUGAACAAGUCUUGACGGUACCUAACCAGAAAGCCACGGCUAACUACGUGCCAGCAGCCGCGGUAAUACGUAGGUGGCAAGCGUUAUCCGGAAUUAUUGGGCGUAAAGCGCGCGUAGGCGGUUUCUUAAGUCUGAUGUGAAAGCCCACGGCUCAUCCGUGGAGGGUCAUUGGAAACUGGGAAACUUGAGUGCAGAAGAGGAGAGUGGAAUUCCAUGUGUAGCGGUGAAAUGCGCACAGAUAUGGAGGAACACCAGUGGCGAACGCGGCUCGCUGGUGUGUAAGCUGACGCUGAUGUGCGAA
rnacentral:rRNA from 1 species